rnacentral:rRNA from 1 species
AUGCCCUCCCUUGCUGCCCUCGGCCACACCAUCACGGAGAAGCUCACCCGCGACAACUUCCUGGUGUGGAAGGCCCAGGUACUCCCGCAUAUCAGGGCCGCCGCGAUGAUGGGCUACCUUGACGGCUCGAUCAAGGAGCCCGCUGCUGUCAUUGUCUCCAAGAAGGACAACGCUGGGAAGAAGGAGAUCACGGAGACGCCUAACCCAGAACAUGCGAUCUGGGUCACUCAAGACAAACAGGUGCUCACUUUUUUGCUUGCCUCCUUGUCCCGAGAGGUUCUGAUGCAGGUCUCAAACCACACCACCGCUGCGGGAGUCUGGCAUGCUCUGGUGGAAAGCUUCUCUGCAUAG